UGCGUGGUUUCGGCUUUUCAAUAUAUAGCAUCUAUAAGCUUCAUAGUGAUGCCGACUGAGGAGCGAUGCCAUUAAGCAGGAAAUGACUGCUGCGACAUACAGAGCUGUUGAAAAUAGAGGCACUGUAACGUAAAGUUAUUCCAAACUACUUCUAUUGCAUUUUUUGCCCUUAGCUCUCCACGAGUGGUUAAAAUUUUUCGGAGCACGCAUACUUCGCCUGUUACUGAAUAGGUGAAGCUUCACUGCUUACUAAAACUUCGCGUUUAAACGGCCCCUCACCAGGCCCCAUAUCAAAUUUUGGUUAUAUGCUGGAAGUUGUUACAUGUCCUCUAGGGAGCAUUCUGCCGCAAAAAUUCUUCGAGUCGGCUCAUUAAUAGCCGAGAUAGAAAUAUUUCAGUUCCGCGAACCCAUGAUUUCGGCAGGCGGGCUCCACUGCAUAGCGAGACUCUGCGAGACUCUCUCCAUUCGCCUCGUCUAGCUUCCGCAAACCUUCCCUGCGUUCUCCCAUGCCAGACUUCAAGGAUCGCAUUACACAUACAUCACGGACCCCGCCUUCACUUUUUUUUUUCUCCUCGCUUAUUUUCUUUUUUUCAGAGAAGCGCUUCUCCGCUGGCGGCAUUGCGUGCGAGCUGUUAUCGUUUCACGCAGCGCACGCUUUCUGGCAUUGCAUCUCCUGGCGUGGUCGCAUUAAUGGUGCCAGAGAGAGCGUCCAGCCACAGCCCACGAAACACAGAACCUCUUAAAAACUUCUUGAAACGGCUACAAACGGCUAUAGACGUCUUGGUCUAUGAUAAGACAGAAAAUAGAAUUUUUUCUAAACAUGACCUCAGCACUUGCAAUAUGCUAGUAUAUAUUCUAUCUGCGGCAAAACCCACUACUGGUGUCACUAGAGUCUGUUUUGGUAAACACAUUCAGAAUGUCUAACUCAAGAACAUUUCUAGAUCUUUUUGUCUAAAAGUGCAUAAAAUGCCAAACGACGCGUUAAAAGUGCGGUUACCGUCAGCCGUUGGCGUUAGCGAAUAAAAGACGCCACAGACAAAUCGAACUCGUUGGAAGCAACAUAAGUUAAUUGGCUUUAAUAUUAAAUAAUUUCACACCAGAACUUCAAAAAUCAAGGGCGUGUUAUUGUUCUCCAGACGGGGCGCGCACACGACGCCUGGAAACCAUUCUAUGCUCGCGCCACAGGUAUACUGACAGCAGCAGGAGCGAAACGCCGGCGUUGCACAGCGGUGUGACAGAGUCGCUGCACUGCGAUCACUUCGGCGGCACAAUCCAAAUUUGUCGGACAUCUUAUUCUGUGCUGGAAACACUGGGAGGCAGGAAGUUUGAAAAAACGGCCACUGCCGCCCGCAAUGUCUCGCUGUCUCGGUCGUGGGUUCGUUAUUCAGUUGUGUGUCAUUCUAAGCCGUUAUGUACAUUUAUACUGGAUAUUAACUGGAGUCAUUUAGCUGAACUGAUGCUGUUUGCCCUGUGUUUUGCAUCAGUGCUUCGUGACAUCAGCUGUAUUGAGUGUUUUCGCCGACGGCUUACUACCACAAUGGCGGGAUCUGCGUUCACCGCCUUCGUGUCUCGGUGCGUCUUUGUACGUCGCACGUUCGGAUAACACUUUUUCCGACGGCUGGACAUCCUUCUUGUACCUUGGCGCUAGCUGGAUGACGGGACCUCAUCAUGAUCAGUGUAUUGCUUGCCUAUGUCUACAAGAACCGUCACGCGUGGCCUGUGACAGCAAGCUUUUGUGGGCAGCAAGUGCUCUCCUACGAAGGCUGGCCUACUCUGGCAGCGGCGGCAAUCAUCUUCAAGAUUUAUCCAUGAUCACCUUUGCUGCUAUUUGUCACUCUUGUUAAUUGCACUUUCUGCAUCUUUUCUAAUUUAUUAGGUAAUAAAGUAUGAGUAUGUGACAUGGUGUGAA